rnacentral:misc_RNA from 1 species
AAUGCUUUUCGGUAUUCACCUUGAAUUAGUGUUCAUAAUUAUUUUUUCCUAUUUCAUUUUAGCUUUCUUCCUCUCACCCUUCAUAUCAUUUACAUGGUCAGGCCUAUAUUUCUUACAAUUAAAAUACCUACACAUGUACAACUUAACCACCCCGAGAACCCUCCCCCGAUGCCGGCAGACAAAUUAUCCAAUCCUGAGGGAGCCUCUAGAUUCCAUAUUCUUUCAAAUGGUCAGCCUUCAUGUCUAGCCAGUCGCAUUCAAGUUCAUUUAGCACAGAAUCAAGUUCACAAUUGCACCAGUAUAAUGACAUGCUUGCUGGCCACCCCGACAGCUGAGAACCACAUCCCCGCAGCCUAGCCAUUCUGCACAAUGAUUGGCUCAACAAAACCUGCCUUUAGGUGGUGCAUGAUCUAUGAACAACCCAACAAUUUGAAAUCUUGUGAUGCUCUCAGCCGAAAGGAAAAACAAACAAAUGAGCCACAACUGCAACUUAUAAAGCUUCCAGGGUAAUUGAUGCUUU